rnacentral:rRNA from 1 species
CUACGGGGCGCUCCAGUGGGGAAUAUUGCACAAUGGAGGAAACUCUGAUGCAGCAACGCCGCGUGGAGGAUGACACUUUUCGGAGCGUAAACUCCUUUUAUAUAGGAAGAAGAUGACGGUACUAUAUGAAUAAGCGCCGGCUAACUCCGUGCCAGCAGCCGCGUGUAAUACGGAGGGCGCAAGCGUUACUCGGAAUCACUGGGCGUAAAGAGCGUGUAGGCGGAUUAAAAAGUCAGAAGUGAAAUCCUAUAGCUUAACUAUAGAACUGCUUCUGAAACUCUUAAUCUAGAAUAUGGGAGAGGUAGAUGGAAUUUCUGGUGUAGGGGUAAGAUCCGUAGAGAUCAGAAGGAAUACCGAUUGCGAAGGCGAUCUACUAGAACAUUAUUGACGCUGAGACGCGAAAGCGUGGGGAGCAAACAGGAUUAGAUACCCUGGUAGUC